rnacentral:rRNA from 1 species
AUACGUAGGGGGCGAGCGUUGUCCGGAAUGAUUGGGCGUAAAGGGCGCGUAGGCGGCGCGGUAAGUCUGGAGUGAAAGUCCUGCUUUCAAGGUGGGAAUUGCUUUGGAUACUGCCGCGCUUGAGUGCAGGAGAGGUUAUCGGAAUUCCCGGUGUAGCGGUGAAAUGCGUAGAGAUCGGGAGGAACACCAGUGGCGAAGGCGGGUAACUGGACUGCAACUGACGCUGAGGCGCGAAAGUGUGGGGAGCAAACAGGAUUAGAUACCCUGGUAGCCCACACUGUAAACGAUGAAUGCUAGGUGUAAGAGGUAUCGACCCCUUUUGUGCCGGAGUCAACACAAUAAGCAUUCCGCCUGGGGAGUACGGCCGCAAGGUUGAAACUCAAAGGAAUUGACGGGG